rnacentral:rRNA from 1 species
AGAUUGAACGCUGGCGGCAGGCCUAACACAUGCAAGCCGAGCGGCAGCACGGGUACUUGUACCUGGUGGCGAGCGGCGGACGGGUGAGUAAUACCUAGGAAUCUGCCUGAUAGUGGGGGAUAACGCUCGGAAACGGACGCUAAUACCGCAUACGUCCUACGGGAGAAAGCAGGGGACCUUCGGGCCUUGCGCUAUCAGAUGAGCCUAGGUCGGAUUAGCUAGUUGGUGGGGUAAUGGCUCAACCAAGGCGACGAUCCGUAACUGGUCUGAGAGGAUGAUCAGUCACACUAGGAACUGAGACACCGGUCCAGACCUCCUAACGGGAGGCAGCGAGGUAGGGAAUAGUUAGGAACGAAGUGGGACGAAAGCCUAGACUACCGAAGCCAUCGGCCGCGGUGUGUAGGAAGAACGGUUCGUUACGG